CCAGCUGUGACUAGUUUUCGAGUGUUUCCGCGCCUCGCGCCAUUCCACGGAAUUCCAUCCUUUUUAACAUCACAAAAGCGCACGUCGCCAGAGUUACUGCUCCGAAUAAAUGAAAUCAAAAUGGAGUCCGUGCGGAAAAUGGAGUAACAAUUUUGAAAGAGUGGAGGAAAUUGAUUGAAGGAGUAAACGAGAGCUAAAAUGGCGGUUUUGAUAGAGAAAUCACCAGAGAGUGUCAUCCGGGCGAAGGAACGGCUGAACAGAGACUAAACGCCGAGUUAUUUAACCCACUAGUCCCCUGAGCAAUUGGGACAUCGUCCUUCAGUCCCAGCAUAAGGCUGGAGUGGGAGCGAUAAAAUUGCCUCAUUAAGAGAACCAAUCGGGAUCGUUAACAUCGAGGUGCUUCUUGGGGAGUUAUCAGCACGAUCGGUCAAGGAUUAAUGACCCAUUGACAACGACACGGAGUAAGGAUUCGCUAUCUUCGGUGAUGACUCUUGGAUUUGACCCAAAUAUCGGCUCUUCCAAUCUGAUUGGAGGGGAUUCUUCAUUGGCAAUGCUGACGGCUGCUGCUGAGAAUGUCAAAAUUGCUGGACUCUGAAAUUGCAUUCUCGCUGAUGACCGGGUUUAUGGAUUUAACCAUCAGCGGUAGCUGAGGAAGAGAGGAUCGAGAAGAAAUGAAACAUCUCGAGACAUGAUCGUACCGUACUAUAACUACCCGAUUAAAAGUAACUGCUAGUAAACUUGAUUUAUGAUCAAUCGCUUGGGAUCUUACGACUUGACUCGUAUUUUCACAUCUCUUUGGUGUGAGGGAACACCACUGAAUACUCAACACUCAAAUCCACUCGUACGCCCCUGUCAUUCAAAGAGGUGUCAACAGUAAUCGCUUUUACGAGAUACUUAUUAAUUGUUACGACGGUUUUACGACGACGUAAAAGUGCAGCCAACGACUGGAGACGAGCCCACUGUGGCCCGUGGAAUAUUCAAUUGUGGGGUGGAGACACCGAGACCAUCAUCAAUGGAUUAACAUUUUUUUAUUUACAAUUAUUCAUGUUCUUCAGUCAACAACUUGAAUA